rnacentral:rRNA from 1 species
CCUGUGUUGCCAGCACGUCGUGGUGGGAACUCACGGGGGACCGCCGGGUCAACUCGGAGGAAGGUGGGGAUGACGUCAGAUCAUCAUGCCCCUUACGUCCAGGGCUUCACGCAUGCUACAAUGGCCGGUACAACGGGAUGCGACACGGCGACGUGGAGCGGAUCCCUGAAAACCGGUCUCAGUUCGGAUUGGAGUCUGCAACCCGACUCCAUGAAGGCGGAGUCGCUAGUAAUCGCGGAUCAGCAACGCCGCGGUGAAUGCGUUCCCGGGCCUUGUACACACCGCCCGUCAAGUCAUGAAAGUGGGUAGCACCCGAAGCCGGUGGCCUAACCCUUUGUGGAUGGAGCCGUCUAAGGUGAGACUCGUGAUUGGGACUAAGUCGUAACAAGGUAGCCGUAUCGGAAGGUGCGGCUGGAUCACCUCCUUUCUACGGAG